UACGGAGGGCGCAAGCGUUAUCCGGAAUCACUGGGUUUAAAGGGUGCGUAGGCGGCUUGAUAAGUCAGGGGUGAAAGCCCGCAGCUUAACUGCGGAACUGCCUUUGAUACUGUCGAGCUUGAAAGAGGUUGAGGUCAGCGGAACGUGACAUGUAGCGGUGAAAUGCAUAGAUAUGUCACAGAACACCGAUUGCGAAGGCAGCUGGCUGGACCUACUUUGACGCUGAGGCACGAAAGCGUGGGGAGCUAAUAGG
rnacentral:rRNA from 1 species